GUGAGUAGUUCAGAGUUUGAUCCUGGCUCAGGAUGAACGCUAGCGGCAGGCUUAACACAUGCAAGUCGAGGGGCAGCAUAAUGAAGUAGCAAUACGGAGUUGAUGGCGACCGGCGCACGGGUGCGUAACGCGUAUGUAACCUACCUUUAACAGGGGGAUAACACUGAGAAAUUGGUACUAAUACCCCAUGACAGAUAAGAGGGCAUCCUUUUAUUUUGAAAGUUCCGGCGGUUAAAGAUGGACAUGCGUUGUAUUAGCUAGAUGGUGAGGUAACGGCUCACCAUGGCGACGAUACAUAGGGGGACUGAGAGGUUAACCCCCCACACUGGUACUGAGACACGGACCAG
rnacentral:rRNA from 1 species